rnacentral:rRNA from 1 species
AACGAACGCUGGCGGCAUGCCUAACACAUGCAAGUCGAACGGGAUCCUAGCUUGCUAGGUGAGAGUGGCGGACGGGUGAGUAACACGUGGGAAUCUGCCUUUUGGUUCGGGAUAACCGCGGGAAACUGCGGCUAAUACCGAAUGCCCUCGAGAGAGGAAAGAUUUAUCGCCAGAAGAGGAGCCCGCGUCCGAUUAGGUAGUUGGUGGGGUAAAGGCCUACCAAGCCGACGAUCGGUAGCUGGUCUGAGAGGAUGAUCAGCCACACUGGGACUGAGAUACGGCCCAGACUCCUACGGGAGGCAGCAGUGGGGAAUAUUGGACAAUGGGGGCAACCCUGACCCAGCAAUGCCGCGUGAGUGAUGAAGGCCUUAGGGUUGUAAAGCUCUUUCGGUGGGGGGAAGAUAAUGACGGUACCCCAAGAAGAAGCCCCGGCUAACUUCGUGCCAGCAGCCGCGGUAAU